rnacentral:rRNA from 1 species
AUUGAACGCUGGCGGAAUGCUUUACACAUGCAAGUCGAACGGCAGCACGAGGGCAACCCUGGUGGCGAGUGGCGAACGGGUGAGUAAUACAUCGGAACGUGCCCAGUCGUGGGGGAUAACUACGCGAAAGCGUAGCUAAUACCGCAUACGAUCUACGGAUGAAAGCGGGGGAUCGCAAGACCUCGCGCGAUUGGAGCGGCCGAUGGCAGAUUAGGUAGUUGGUGAGGUAAAGGCUCACCAAGCCUGCGAUCUGUAGCUGGUCUGAGAGGACGACCAGCCACACUGGGACUGAGACACGGCCCAGACUCCUACGGGAGGCAGCAGUGGGGAAUUUUGGACAAUGGGCGCAAGCCUGAUCCAGCCAUUCCGCGUGCAGGAUGAAGGCCCUCGGGUUGUAAACUGCUUUUGUACGGAACGAAACGCGCUGAGUUAAUACCUCGGCGUAAUGACGGUACCGUAAGAAUAAGCACCGGCUAACUACGUGCCAGCAGCCGCCGUAAAAC